AUUGAACGCUGGCGGCAUGCCUUACACAUGCAAGUCGAACGGCAGCACGGGUACUUGCACCUGGUGGCGAGUGGCGAACGGGUGAGUAAUACAUCGGAACGUACCUUAUCGUGGGAGAUAACGCAGCGAAAGCUGUGCUAAUACCGCAUACGCCCUGAGGGGGAAAGCGGGGGAUCGCAAGACCUCGCGCGAUUAGAGCGGCCGAUGGCUGAUUAGCUAGUUGGUGAGGUAAAGGCCCACCAAGGCAACGAUCAGUAGCAGGUCUGGGAGGAUGAUCUGCCACACUGGAACUGAGAAACGGUCCAGACUCCUACGGGAGGCAGCAGUGGGGAAUUUUGGACAAUGGGGGCAACCCUGAUCCAGCAAUGCCGCGUGAGUGAAGAAGGCCUUCGGGUUGUAAAGCUCUUUUGUCAGUGAAGAAAACUUUAAUAAUAACACUAUUAAAGCAUGACGGUAACUGAAGAAUAAGGACCGGCUAACUACGUGCCAGCCGCCGCAGUAA
rnacentral:rRNA from 1 species